rnacentral:pre_miRNA from 12 species
UGAAAGACAUGGGUAGUGAGACGUUUCAUAAAGUCGUAUCACUAUUCUGUUUUUC